GUUGCAACUGUUAGCCGGAAUGAAUACAGCCCAGCUCUUGUCCGCCUGACCUAGUGAGAGAACUGUAAACUUUGACACGAUUAAGAUUCGGGCAAGAUUUUGACAGAAUGGGACACGCUCACUGCUGUAUUGUGCUCCUUAUAGUAUUCCUUGCGCUACAGCAAGCUGCUGGAUUUUGGCUCUUCGAUGUCUUUCCAUCAAGUUUCAAAACUCAAAACAAAGUGCCAAACAAUAGCACUCCGCCGGUUCUUAUAGUGCCUGGGACUGCAGGAAACCAGCUUGAAGCCAAGAUUGACAAGCCAAGCCGUGUGCAUUGGAUGUGCUACAAAAAGACAGAUGACUUUUUCACACUUUGGCUUGACCUGAAUAUGUUCAUGCCAAUUGGGAUUAACUGUUGGAUUGAUAAUAUAAGAAUUGUAUACAAUAGGACAACUCGCAAGUCAUCCAAUUCUGCAGGGGUGUCUGUGAGAGUGCCUGGUUUUGGACAGACAUAUACUGUUGAGUUCUUGGACAACCACAAGCUGUCAGGUUAUUUUAAUAAUAUGGUUACACAUUUGGUCAACAUGGGAUAUGUCCGCAAUGAGGCUGUCCGAGCAGCACCAUAUGACUUCAGAGUAGCUCCGAACGAGCAGGAGGAAUACUUUGCACGACUGAAGAAGCUGAUUGAGGAUAUGUACGAGAGGGAUCAACAACCACUUUACAUCCUGGGCCAUAGCAUGGGAAGCAAUUAUAUCCUCUACUUCUUAUAUCAGCAGACCCAGGCUUGGAAAGACGAAUACAUCAAAGGCUUCAUUUCACUUGGAGCACCCUGGGGUGGGGCUGUCAAGACCCUUCGAGUACUAUCAUCAGGUGAAAAUCUUGGCAUCCCACUGGUGUCCAACAUCAAGAUCCGGGAGCAGCAGCGGAUGACCACCACAAACCCCUGGAUGCUUCCAUUUGAAGAGGUCUGGCCUACAGACCACGUCUUCAUCUCCACGCCAUUAUUCAACUAUACCCGCCAGGACUACCAGCGCUUCUUUAAAGACAUUGACUUUGAAGAUGGCUGGUUCAUGUGGGAAGACACCAGAAACUUGACAGCUGGUCUGCCCCCUCCUGGUGUUGAGAUGUACUGUUUCUAUGGUGUGGGGCUGCUCACACCGGUUACCUAUAUUUAUGACGACCAGUUCCCAAAUGCAGACCCCAUAGACUAUGUGUAUGCUGAUGGGGAUGAUACAGUGGACAGUCUUAGCCUCGGUCUUUGUAAACGCUGGAGAGGGAAGCAAGCACAGCCUGUCCAUGUCAAGGAAUUCAGGUCUAUGCCCCACAUGGAAAUAGUAUUAAAUAAGAAGGUGAUCAAUGUGAUCCAGAGUAUUCUGGAGGGAAGAUAUAGUGAAGAGGAUUCUACAUUGAUGAACUGAUGAACAUCCCAUUGAUUCCCCACUCAUGCAAGAUCAGGCCCAGCCGGACCAGCCUCCCAAAUCUAUACUACCAUCUCCGGUGACCUUCUCCCUUACCUCACCUCGCUCAUCAACUCAUCCCUGACCGCUGGCUACGUCCCUCCCGUCUUCAAGAGAGCGAGAGUUGCACCCCUUCUGAAAAAACCUACACUCGAUCCCUCCGAUGUCAACAACUACAGACCAGUAUCCCUUCUUUCUUUUCUCUCCAAAACUCUUGAACGUGCCGUCCUUGGCCAGCUCUCCCGCUAUCUCUCUCAGAAUGACCUUCUUGAUCCAAAUCAGUCAGGUUUCAAGACUAGUCAUUCAACUGAGACUGCUCUUCUCUGUAUCACGGAGGCGCUCCGCACUGCUAAAGCUAACUCUCUCUCCUCUGCUCUCAUCCUUCUAGACCUAUCGGCUGCCUUCGAUACUGUGAACCAUCAGAUCCUCCUCUCCACCCUCUCCGAGUUGGGCAUCUCCGGCGCGGCCCACGCUUGGAUUGCGUCCUACCUGACAGGUCGCUCCUACCAGGUGGCGUGGCGAGAAUCCGUCUCCUCACCACGUGCUCUCACCACUGGUGUCCCCCAGGGCUCUGUUCUAGGCCCUCUCCUAUUCUCGCUAUACACCAAGUCACUUGGCUCUGUCAUAACCUCACAUGGUCUCUCCUAUCAUUGCUAUGCAGACGACACACAAUUAAUCUUCUCCUUUCCCCCUUCUGACGACCAGGUGGCGAAUCGCAUCUCUGCAUGUCUGGCAGACAUAUCAGUGUGGAUGACGGAUCAUCACCUCAAGCUGAACCUCGGCAAGACGGAGCUGCUCUUCCUCCCGGGGAAGGACUGCCCGUUCCAUGAUCUCACCAUCACGGUUGACAACUCCAUUGUGUCCUCGUCCCAGAGCGCUUAAGAACCUUGGCGUGAUCCUGGACAACACCCUGUCGUUCUCAAAUAACAUCAAGGAGGUGGCCCGUUCCUGUAGGUUCAUGCUCUACAACAUCCGCAGAGUACGACCCUGCCUCACACAGGAAGCGGCGCAGGUCCUAAUCCAGGCACUUGUCAUCUCCCGUCUGGAUUACUGCAACUCGCUGUUGGCUGGGCUCCCUGCCUGUGCCAUUAAACCCCUACAACUCAUCCAGAACGCCGCAGCCCGUCUGGUGUUCAACCUUCCCAAGUUCUCUCACGUCACCC